rnacentral:rRNA from 1 species
UGAACGCUGGCGGCGUGCCUAACACAUUCAAGUACGAACGGAGUUGUUUGAAUUAAUCCUUCGGGAAGCGUUUAAACAACUUAGUGGCGGACGGGUGAGUAACGCGUGGGUAACCUGCCGUAUACAGGGGGGAUAACACUUAGAAAUAGGUGCUAAUACCGCAUAAGCGCACAGCUUCGCAUGAAGCAGUGUGAAAAGCCUAGACGGUAUACGAUGGACCCGCGUCUGAUUAGCUAGUUGGUGAGGUAGAGGCUCACCAAGGCGACGAUCAGUAGCCGGCCUGAGAGGGUGACCGGCCACAUUGGGACUGAGACACGGGCCCAAACUCCUACGGGAGGCAGCAGUGGGGAAUAUUGCACAAUGGGGGAAACCCUGAUGCAGCGACGCCGCGUGAGUGAAGAAGUAUUUCGGUAUGUAAAGCUCUAUCAGCAGGGAAGAAAAUGACGGUACCUGACUAAGAAGCCCCGGCUAACUACGUG